UGGGCGCAUCGUGACUUCAUAGUUUUUUUUGUCUGCUGCUAUUCAUCGACGUACUCCACGCUCAAUUCUUGUUUUCGUUAAGCCGGUUAAGCCAGUUGUUAAGGUCAUUGCAAAAUUUAUACAAUGGCUUACGGGUAAUUUUUUAUGUACUAUUUAAACUACGUAAUUGUAUGAGUAUUAGUUGAGAAUGAUCCGCAUUUUGAAGACAAUAGUGUUUUUUAAAUGUAUAUUAUGAUGAUGUUUUGUCGUCAUUAUAGGGAUGUGUGCAACCAACAUUUAAUCUGCUUCCAGAUAUCUGUGUGAUAUCUAGCUUGGUGUGCAUGUAUACUACUUCAACACAAUGAACCAGUGAAAUUGGAAAGAAAGAUGUAUUCUGCCAACAAGAGUAAUAGAACGUUGACAACCUGAAACCCUCGUUUUUUCUUUGUAUAGUAUUCCCCGCAAGAGGGUACGGUACCCCUUUUCUGAGAGGGGAACUAGCAUGGACUACUAUAACUUAAGGACGGGAUUCUUCGACAAUUCUUAUGUCGGCCAU
rnacentral:lncRNA from 1 species